GAUGAACGCUGGCGGCGUGCCUAAUACAUGCAAGUCGAGCGAACGGACGAGAAGCUUGCGUCUCUGAUGUUAGCGGCGGACGGGUGAGUAACACGUGGAUAACCUACCUAUAAGACUGGGAUAACUUCGUGAAACCGUAGCUAAUACCGGCUAAUAUUUUGAACCGCAUGGUUCAAAAGUGAAAGACGGUCUUGCUGUCACUUAUAGAUGGAUCCGCGCUGCAUUAGCUAGUUGGUAAGGUAACGGCUUACCAAGGCAACGAUGCAUAGCCGACCUGAGAGGAUGAUCGGCCACACUGGAACUGAGACACGGUCCAGACUCCUACGGGAGGCAGCAGUAGGGAAUCUUCCGCAAUGGGCGAAAGCCUGACGGAGCAACGCCGCGUGAGUGAUGAAGGUCUUCGGAUCGUAAAACUCUGUUAUUAGGGAAGAACAUAUGUGGAAGUAACUGUGGACAUCUUGACGGUACCUAAUGAGAAAGCCCCGGCUAACUACGUG
rnacentral:rRNA from 1 species